CAUUCGGGGCGGGGGGGAGGCAGGGGGUGCAGGUGGCAGUUCGGGGCGGGAUGGGGAAUGGGGGGGCAGUUCAUGGGGGGGAGGUUGGGGGCUGUGGGUCUGGAGCGGGGGUUAGUGCUGGGGGUGAGGCGUGAGGGAGGUUUGGGCCGUGGAGAGGGGCAGUCAGAGGGGUGGAGCUGAAGGGGGAGAAGCCCUGGAGAGGUCGGCGGGGGGAUGUGGAGGGAGCAAGGGUCGCUCCCUUCUCGCUCUCACAAACCAGCCUUUCCCCUACAACAGAAACCCAACCCUGCGCCGUCCCCAAGACACCCUGAUUUGUGCCCAGCAAUUCCUCAAAAUAAUUAGCCCGGAGCGACAGGCCGUUGCUGCUGACACCGGGCCUGGAGCACCGCGUUACCGGCAGCGCUGCAGCUCUUGGAGGUGCCCACACAUGCAUUAGGGAGCAGAAGCAUGGUCCUUGAUUCGACAUGUUCAGCGAGAUGUCCUGUCUUCCCCUUCUGUUUUCCUUGCCUUUGCAUCACAGUUUCUGUAAUACAGGGACAUGCACUGUUUAUAUUGAUGCAAAGCUUCCAGACCCUUGCGUAGCUCAAGGAUCCCACGGAUCAACCACUACGGCAGAUGCUGCCAUGGCACAUUGCAGCGGUGUUGUUACACCUCUAAUUUUGAUCGAGAGCUUCCGACCUGGUUUUGCAUCAUGUUAUCAAAUACCUGUUUCUGCUGCAUUUUUUUAAAGCUGUGUUACACUUCACGUGGAGGAGUUUGGGAAACUCCUGUAGCCACAGCUAUGCAAAGUUCAGAGCUGGCCAUCUUAAUAGUCCCUUCUGGCAUCUGGUGCAUGCAGGAAGGAGUAGGAGCCUGGAGAGGGACAGUUCUUUUUCCUGUGAAAUCUUUCUUAUAUUAAUAAUAAACAAGCAUUAAAUACA